AAAAGACCGCAUGCCGUACGAUUCCGUUUAUAUAAACCCUGGGACAAGCAAAACUAAUCUACGGUGAAAAUCAGAACAGUCGUCGCCCGGCUACAGGGGAUUGUCUGGCAGAGGACAUUUUUUGGAGCAACGGAAAUGGUCGCUAACUCGAUGGGGCUGUGAGUUGCACGGGUGUAUCUAUUUGUCGAGAUGCACGUUAUGAUGCUGUGCAUUUUUGAGAUAGGGUUGUUGGUCUGAACAGAACCACGGAAAGCACUCGGAACAGUGCCAGACACAACGUCGGUGGUGCAAGCAAUUGCUUCUGGCUUCCUAUUAAUAAUACGAUGAUCAGAAACAAGACUAUAAUACGGCAAAAAUCUAUCGUGGUGGCUGCUGCGUUGGACGGCAAAGCAACACUUGCCUGAGCUCGGAAGGUCGUCCUGGAGGGCUAGCCUGCCAGCUGGAUUCAGCUGUGAAUGGCUUAAACCCUUUGAAAUUUCAGAUUCUCUUUACAGCCCAGGCUAUGGUCGAUUUGUGUUUGAGGCAAAAUGUAAAUAAACCCUGAGACUGUGGAGUGCUAGA